rnacentral:rRNA from 1 species
GCAAGUCGAGCGAGAAGUAUUAGAUGAAUUCUUCGGAUGAAACCUAAAACGGAAAGCGGCGGACGGGUGAGUAACGCGUAGGCAACCUGCCUCACACAAAGGGAUAGCUUCUGGAAACGGAAAUUAAUACCUUAUAAAACCUUAGGUUCACAUGAACUAAAGGUCAAAGAUUUAUCGGUGUGAGAUGGGCCUGCGUCUGAUUAGCUAGUUGGUAGGGUAACGGCCUACCAAGGCGACGAUCAGUAGCCGACCUGAGAGGGUGAUC